rnacentral:lncRNA from 1 species
CGAAGUUUGUAGCAGUAUUCAGACAGCAGGGCAGUCACAUCGUUUGCUGCUAGACAACGUAAAAUCGAUCUUGGAGACAGUUUGCUAUUUGGCAAUGUGGAAUCGAGCUCGAAGACAAACUUCUAUGAACACGCGUCAAGGAGAAGAGGCUCGGUUGUAUGUGGAGCUGGCCAAGAAAAAAAAGGAAAAAAGGGAGAGACAUCAUGUACUAGUAUUUGAGUCGUCGCAUGAUCUAGUAUUGCCUCCUCACAAAAAAAGCAGAGAUCAAGUUCCCACGCGAUGGACUGGCCGCCGGCCCGACCGUGAGUAUCGCCACGCCGCACUUCCCGCUGGCCUUCCGCCAAGUCUCGCGUCGGCUUGGUCGUUCGCGUCGUCGCGCGGCUCAGCUCGCACCACGCCUUCUCGUGUCGCUCCGACUCCACGCCCACGCGGCCGCCUCGUCCCGCUCCAGCCGUAUGCUAGUGGUGCGGCCGCCUCGCCCCGCUCCAGUCCAGUGUCCUGCCUUAUCCGCGGCAGGCUCCGGCCCCCACCACGCGCUGGCUAGCUCCCGCGCGCCUCGCCUUUGCCUAGCCCCGCCUUGCUCGCCAAUGCCGCCAUGGCUUCGCCUCUCCCGCCCGCAGCACGCCUCGCCCGCGCUGGCUACCCCCCUCCCCCUCCGCGCUAGCUGCCUGCUGGCUGUCCAAGCAAGAAAAGGUCCGGCUAAAAAAGGGCAGCCAACCACGAGGAAGCAAUUAGUACUACUAGGUAAAGGAUACAUUCAAUAUAUAUAAAUUGCUGCCAAAUUGUCAUGAGUGUUGAAGAAUUAGGCACAAUUUCCAUGAUUAAUUUCAGAGUAUAAAGCAUGACGAUACCAGCUACUAACAUGUGAAACUCUAACAUACUAGAUACAAGACACAACAUGAAUAGCAACAAGAUCGUAUAGCAAAACAUGUACGCAUCUAACAUGUUCAUCGUGCUAACGGAAACACGACGCACGUACCGAACGUUUGUAGAGAAAGAAGAUGUGUUCGGUGCAGCUACGUUGUUGACGAUAACGUUGGCGAUGACGGGACAAAGUAGACGACGCUUGAGGCGGCGGUACGCAGCACGCCCGACUUGCUUGGUAGACGACCCAUUGUGGAAGCAGCGAGAAGUCGCGCAGAGCGCUUUCCAAAAAUCUAGUUCGCCCUCUCCCGUACAGGAUCGCAAAGGCGACUGGUUCCGAAGACCUGCUCUCCCGUUCGCCGUUGGAUGCCGGCGCUUGGGGUGAGGUAGACUACGAUGACGGCGCAAGUUGUGAGACGAGGCAAAACCCUAGAUGUUUUUCGGUGUGUCUUUGGCCG